rnacentral:rRNA from 1 species
GCUGUGCGGUAAUCCCGCGCGGUGAUCGUUCUGACAUCUGGUGUCUGAUGUCUGACAUCUGAUGGGGGAGCGGCGGACGGGUGAGUAACGCGUGGGAAUUUUCCUCAAGGUACGGAACAACCCAGGGAAACUUGGGCUAAUACCGUAUGAUGUCUAGCGACCAAAGAUUUAUCGCCUUGGGAUAAGCCCGCGUCAGAUUAGGUAGUUGGUGGGGUAACGGCCUACCAAGCCUGCGAUCUGUAGCUGGUCUGAGAGGACGAUCAGCCACACUGGGACUGAGACACGGCCCAGACUCCUACGGGAGGCAGCAGUGGGGAAUCUUGCGCAAUGGGCGAAAGCCUGACGCAGCCAUGCCGCGUGAAUGAUGAAGGUCUUAGGAUUGUAAAGUUCUUUCGCCCGUGACGAUGAUGACGGUAACGGGAGAAGAAGCCCCGGCUAACUUCGUGCCAGCAGCCGCGGUAAUACGAAGGGGGCUAGCGUUGUUCGGAAUUACUGGGCGUAAAGCGCGCGUAGGCGGUUUUGCAAGCCAGAGGUGAAAUGCCUGAGCUUAACUUAGGAAUUGCCUUUGGGACUGCGGGGCUUUGAGGACGGGAGAGGUGAGUGGAAUUCCCAGUGUAGAGGUGAAAUUCGUAGAUAUUGGGAAGAACACCGGUGGCGAAGGCGGCUCACUGGCCCG